UUAAAACCGUCCUGGCUAAUUUUUGAAAAUGAUUGAAAUGCACCCCAAACAAAAAUAAAUAAAAAAAUGGAAGGGAGGAACGAGAGGCAACCCUAGGAAGCAACCAGAUUGGAAGAUGGAGAGUGUUGUGCCCCUGCAUCGUAUCCAUUGCCUAAUACCACCGACAUGGAAGCUUAAUCACAGUACCAACAGCUUCCUCUUCCCCAGAACCCUAACCACAAAACCCUCCCCCAAACCCAGAACACCAUUCCCUUCUUCUCUUUGCUAUUCCCACCCAUUUCCUCAACCAAAUGUAGCCGCCCCACGCGGUGGUUCUACAAAGCACACCACCCUCCUUGUGGAGACUUUCCAUGAACACCAGAGGCUCAAAGACUUACUUGUGAAGGUCACCACCGAGGACUGUUGCCCUUUACAAUUGCUUGCAGAUGAUGGUGAUUGGACCAAAGACCAAUUUUGGGCUGUCAUCACAUUCCUCAACAAUGUUUCCAGGUCCAAGGAAAUUCUUCAGUUGUUUGAGAUGUGGAAGAAGAUCGAGAAAUCGCGGAUUAAUGAGUUCAACUACAGCAAGAUAAUAGGGUUGUUAAGUGAAGAGGGCCUCAUGGAAGAGGCUGCCCCAUGCUUUCAAGAGAUGAAGAGUCAUGAUCUUAGGCCAUCUUUGGAGGUUUACAAUUCAAUGAUUCAUGGUUUUGCCAGACAAGGAAACUUUGAUGAUGCUUUGUUUUACCUUAGCGAGAUGAGAGAAAUGAACGUGGCGCCAGAAACUGAUACUUAUGAUGGGCUUAUUGAAGCGUAUGGGAAGUAUAAAAUGUAUGAUGAGAUGGGUAUGUGCGUGAAGAAAAUGAAACUAAAUGGCUGCCCACCUGACCACAUUACAUAUAAUUUGCUUAUUCGAGAGUUUUCAAGGGGCGGGUUACUCAAAAGAAUGGAAAGUGUGUAUCAAUCCAUGCUUUCUAAGAGAAUCAUUUUGCAGUCUUCUACCUUGAUUGCAAUGCUUGAGGUUUAUGCAAAAUUUGGGAUCUUGGAUAAGAUGGAAAAGGUUUAUAUGAGACUGUUGAACUCCAGAACACUUGUAAAGGAUGACUUAAUUAGGAAACUAGCUGAAGUUUAUAUCAAGAACUAUAAGUUUUCGAGAUUAGAGAAUUUGGGAGUUGAUAUUUCUUCAAGAUUUGGUCAGACUGAUCUAGUUUGGUGUCUGCGUCUGCUGUCUCAUGCUGGACUUCUUAGUCGAAGAGGAAUGGAUUCCAUUGUCCAAGAGAUGAAAGAAGAAAAUGCCCCGUGGAAUGCAACAGUUGCAAACACAAUCAUGUUAGCUUAUUUGAAGAUGAAAGAUUUCACACACUUGAGGAUCUUGCUCUCUCAAUUACUAACCCAGGGUGUGAAGCCAGAUAUUAUCACAGUUGGAAUUCUAUUUGAUGCAAAUAUGAUUGGCUAUGACGGGUCUGGGACUUUAGAUGCAUGGAAAAAGAAGGGCUUGCUCCAAAGAUCUGUGGAAAUGAAUACCGAUCCCCUGGUUCUCACCACCUUUGGGAAGGGACAGUUCCUUAGAAACUGUGAAGCAGCAUUCUCCUCACUUGAACCUGAGGUUAGAGAAAACAAAACCUGGACUUACCAUCAUCUCAUUGAUUUAGUCUGAAAACACACCGAAUCUAGCCUCAUUAUGAAGGAUGCUAUGAAGUCAAUAUAAGCUAGCUUAGUAAAGAUACCCUUUUCUUUGGUCCGAAAAUCUCUUUGAAAAGAUAAUGUUAUUCUAACUGUUUUGGUCAUGUACUGACCCAAGGGACACUUCUGUACAUAAAUAUGUGACAGAGCCUCUUAGGAUGGAUUUUAGAUAAUCUUCAAAACAUCUGCUUCCUGGAAUCCGGGAUAUUCAGAUCAUAAAGGGGAGAAUUUACUGCUCGACGCAAUGCAAUGUUAUUGGACAAAGGUCGUCUGCUUUGGUGAAUGAACGACAUCUGCAUUUCUUGAAUUGAUAUCCCUUCCGUGCUACCCUUGCUCUGCCCCUUCUUUCUGGAUUAAUCGCAUGUUUGGUAUCAUCUUUCUGUAAGCACAAAUCAUUCCAUCAUGAUAAGGCAGAUUCGGUAGACAUUGGGAGUGGUUAACUCAGAAGAGCAAAGACAUGCCUGAUGUUUAUUACAGAAGGGUUGCUGGUCCGGCGGUGGAUGGAAGGUGCUUUUUACCAUGCUAGCUGCAUAUUAUCUACUUUCUCUAGAAUGGAAGAGUUGGGAUACUUUGUUCAUUCCUAAAUAUAUUACCCCGAUCGAUGUUGGUCUUAAUACGCACCAAUCGAUGGAAAUUAUCCUUGAAGUACCUGAUUCCAUAGACUCUUCCCUCAGAAUGGCUUGCCUUCCCAUUGUGGUUGAUCCCCAGGUCAAGAUCCUUGUAGAUGAAGGCGGCUUCCCUUGGAUUCAUGGAAACAAAAGGAAUCAUGUACUCACUCUCCGAUACACAAAAGUGGCCUCCGCUUCUAAUUUUCAUCUGCAAGUUAUGCUUGUGAGCACAAACGAUGGCAUGUUGCAUGUGAGAUUCGCACAAGGCAGUGAUGGUAAGGAACGUUUUGGGGUUGAGGAUGCGUUGAAGCGAAGAUUUCCAAUGUAAGAUUGCAAAACAGAUGAGCAAGAAGCACUGUUAGGAGCGUAAAUUGCUGCACUGAUUGGAUAAUGAGCAGUCAGUUUGUAAAUGUUUCUGAGGCCUAAGGGGAUGUACAUUUUUUAGCAUUCAUGUGAUGAGAUUUUGUACGGACCGUGCGCUUAUAUGAAUGUGAUUUCAUCCUUCUGAGUUCUGA